UUCGUAGGUGAACCUGCGGAAGGAU
rnacentral:rRNA from 1 species